rnacentral:rRNA from 1 species
CCUACGGGUGGCAGCAGUGGGGGAUAUUGCACAAUGGGGGGAACCCUGAUGCAGCGACGCCGCGUGGGUGAAGGAGCGUUUCGGCGCGUAAAGCCCUAUCGGCAGGGAAGAAGGAGGACGGUACCUGACUAAGAAGCCCCGGCUAACUACGUGCCAGCAGCCGCGGUAAUACGUAGGGGGCAAGCGUUAUCCGGAUUUACUGGGUGUAAAGGGAGCGUAGACGGCUGUGCAAGUCUGAAGUGAAAGCCCGUGGCUCAACCGCGGAACUGCUUUGGAAACUGUAUAGCUUGAGUACUGGAGAGGCAGGCGGAAUUCCUAGUGUAGCGGUGAAAUGCGUAGAUAUUAGGAGGAACACCAGUGGCGAAGGCGGCCUGCUGGACAGAAACUGACGUUGAGGCUCGAAAGCGUGGGGAGCAAACAGGAUUAGAUACCCUUGUAGUC